CAGCAGUGGGGAAUAUUGCACAAUGGGCGCAAGCCUGAUGCAGCCAUGCCGCGUGUAUGAAGAAGGCCUUCGGGUUGUAAAGUACUUUCAGCGAGGAGGAAGGCAUUGUGGUUAAUAACCACAGUGAUUGACGUUACUCGCAGAAGAAGCACCGGCUAACUCCGUGCCAGCAGCCGCGGUAAUACGGAGGGUGCAAGCGUUAAUCGGAAUUACUGGGCGUAAAGCGCACGCAGGCGGUUGAUUAAGUCAGAUGUGAAAUCCCCGAGCUUAACUUGGGAACUGCAUUUGAAACUGGUCAGCUAGAGUCUUGUAGAGGGGGGUAGAAUUCCAGGUGUAGCGGUGAAAUGCGUAGAGAUCUGGAGGAAUACCGGUGGCGAAGGCGGCCCCCUGGACAAAGACUGACGCUCAGGUGCGAAAGCGUGGGGAGCAAACAGGAUUAGA
rnacentral:rRNA from 1 species